rnacentral:rRNA from 1 species
AGAGGGUGCGAGCGUUAAUCGGAAUUACUGGGCGUAAAGGGCGCGUAGGCGGUUAUGUAAGUUAGAUGUGAAAUCCCCGGGCUUAACCUGGGAAUGGCAUUUAAUACUGUAUGACUAGAGUAGAGUAGAGGGAAGUGGAAUUUCCGGUGUAGCGGUGAAAUGCGUAGAUAUCGGAAAGAACACCAGUGGCGAAGGCGGCUUCCUGGACUCAUACUGACGUUGAGGCGCGAAGGCGUGGGUAGCAAACAGGAUUAGAUACCCUGGUAGUCCAUGCUGUAAACGAUGAAAACUAGAUGUUGGAGGGUUAAACUCUUCAGUAUCGAAGCUAACGCGAUAAGUUUUCCGCCUGGGGAGUACGGCCGCAAGGCUA